rnacentral:rRNA from 1 species
GAAACUAACAAGGAUUCCCCUAGUAACGGCGAGUGAAGCGGGAUGAGCUCAAAUUUAAAAUCUGGCUGGUUUACUAGUCCGAAUUGUAGUUUAAAGAAGCGUUUUCGGUGGCAGCCUGGGUAUAAAUCCUUUGGAACAGGGUAUCAUAGAGGGUGAGAAUCCCGUCUUUGACUCAGUGCAUGCUACUAUGUGAUACGUUUUCAAAGAGUCGAGUUGUUUGGGAAUGCAGCUCAAAAUGGGUGGUAAAUUUCAUCUAAAGCUAAAUAUUGGCGAGAGACCGAUAGCGAACAAGUACCGUGAGGGAAAGAUGAAAAGAACUUUGAAAAGAGAGUUAAACAGUGCGUGAAAUUGUUGAAAGGGAAACGCUUGACACCAGUCAUGCGAGCGGAAAAUCAGUCUUUUGCAGUGGGGAGUUGUGUGGGUUCGGACCGCAAGGCCGGCCUGCGCUGCAUCUCUGCUGUAAGUGAUGCACUUUUUCGUUUGCAGGCCAACAUCAGUUUCUUCUGCUGGACAAAACUCUUGAGAAGGUGGCAGCUUAGGCUGUGUUAUAGCUCUUGAGCGAUACAGUGGAGGGGACUGAGGUUUUCGCAGCGCGUGCUCUCGGGCAAGGCUGAUUGGGUGCUAUGGGAUCGUUCGGUGUACAAUGCAUGCAUUUUGCGCCGUGUCUUUUCUAUACUCGCUCAACUCGGCUCUUCCGCGCUUAGGAUGUUGGCUUAAUGGUUUUA